GACAGAGGGUGCAAACGUUGUUCGGAAUUACUGGGCGUAAAGCGUGUGUAGGCGGUCCACUAAGUCGGGUGUGAAAGCCCUGGGCUCAACCCAGGAAGUGCACUCGAAACUGGUGGGCUAGAGUACUGGAGAGGUUGGUGGAAUUCUCGGUGUAGAGGUGAAAUUCGUGGAUAUCGAGAGGAACACCGGUGGCGAAGGCGGCCAACUGGACAGAUACUGACGCUGAGACACGAAAGCGUGGGGAGCAAACAGG
rnacentral:rRNA from 1 species